CCUACGGGGUGCAGCAGUGGGGAAUAUUGCACAAUGGGGGAAACCCUGAUGCAGCGACGCCGCGUGAGUGAAGAAGUAUUUCGGUAUGUAAAGCUCUAUCAGCAGGGAAGAAAAUGACGGUAUCUGACUAAGAAGCCCCGGCUAACUACGCGCCAGCAGCCGCGGUAAUACGCAGGGGGCAAGCGUUAUCCGGAUUUACUGGGUGUAAAGGGAGCGUAGACGGCAGCGCAAGUCUGAAGUGAAAUGCCGGGGCUUAACCCCGGAACUGCUUUGGAAACUGUGCAGCUAGUGUGCAGGAGAGGUAAGUGGAAUUCCUAGUGUAGCGGUGAAAUGCGUAGAUAUUAGGAGGAACACCAGUGGCGAAGGCGGCUUACUGGACUGUAACUGACGUUGAGGCGCGAAAGCGUGGGGAGCAAACAGGAUUAGAUACCCGGGUAGUC
rnacentral:rRNA from 1 species